CUCGCUCCUUCUUCCCUCAGCCGCCGCAUUGUUCCAUGGACGCCAACCACCCUAGCAACACCGUCGCCGAUCUAGCCCGUCCACACCGGUCGGCCAAGCGACGCCGCCCCCAUCCCCUUCAUCAAGCACGCCGCCUCCCCCGCACCCCCGAGGCCCCGACCCAUGCCGCCGCUCCCGCACCCUCAACCCAUGCCGCUAGCCAUUCCCCAUCGGUGACAGCCCAUACCCACGCGCCCUCUGACGCACGCCGCCACCCAGUCCCCAUCGGUGAGGACCUACACCCGCGCCUCCAAUGUCCCACGCCGCCAUCCAGUCCCCAUCGGCGAUGACCUGCACCAGCAACCCACAUCGCCGCCCGUCCCCAUCGAUCCACGUCGCAACCGCACCCCCACCCAGAACAUCCGCCCCAUUCCUCGAGCACGACGCCGCCUCGUACCCCUCACCACCCACGCCGCCGUCCCAAUCCCCCACCACGACACCUCCCCAUCCCCUUCGCCAUUACCGCCUCUGCUUCGCGUUGCACGGCAGCUCGGCCUCUUGCUUCGAAGGAGGAGGUCCAAGUGAAGCUCCCAUAUAUUAAAUGUAAGAUGAGGCUCAUUUCAUAUAACAUUGCAUGCUCAUUACAAGCGGAAAUGAUGGCUGACUGUAAAGAUGGGUUUAAGAUUCCACAUCUGUUGUUUGGAGGAGCUUUUGAUCACCAUGCGCUUGCCUUUCAAUGUUGAAUAUAAGCUAAUCGCUCUUGAAUCUCUUGUGAUGUAUGGUGUGAAGAUGCUAUUGAUGGUCACUAAAAGCUCACAGCUGAAGAAUUGAUAUGAUGUUGCAAACGAUUUCUUUUAGUAGACAGGUGAUGUAUCAAAUAGACCAAUACUAGAAAAUCGAGCAGAGAUCACACAACAAAAGAAGCAAGUGCUGGUCCAACAGGAGAAUCAACUAGAAAACAUCAAAACACAACUGUUGCCCAAAAGACUCUGCAAAUGGAGGUUGUUCGUAAAGUUCUGAAGAAGCAACCAUCACAGCCAGUGGCAAUCGUCACAUGUAGAAGGUCACCGGUAUAAUACUUUUGCAUCCACAAGUUUUAAGAGGGUGUUUUGUGAGCUAAAAGGAUCUUCUGUUGUACUCCCUCUGUCUCAAAAUAAAUGUCUCAACCAUAGUACAACUUUGUACUAACUCUAGUACAAAGUUGAGGCACUUACUCUGGGAUAGAGGGAGUAUAUGUUUCUAACUAAAACCAGGCCUUAUAUUUUGCUCUUUUUUCUAUGAUGUAAUAUUGGACUUAUCAGAACCUACAAAUGUAUGUAUGUGCAUGUAGACAUGAUGGAUCUUUGUGUUUCUGGCUAUCAUGUAAUACUGGACUUGUAACCCUAUGAAUGAUGGACUGCCCAGAUAUAUACAUGGAUACACAUUAUCUCUUAAA